GAUCCAGCUUGGAAAUCUUCAGUUAUCAUGAAAAUCUUCAAAUGAGGAGCAAACCAUUUCUCUCCAAAUGGCAGAUAAUAAGAUGUUCUAGAAUGAGACAGCAUUUUGAAAGUAUAUAUAUGGAAUGAUAGCUCCAUGAAUGUUAACUGAUGUUUUACCAAAAAAAGUCUCAUAAUCAAGUGCUUUGUGGGACUGGUGUUCCAAAGACUAAGUGAAACACACUGUCUGAGAUGUCAUUCCUGUCCUCUAAGGUUCUGUAGUCUGGAUUUGCACUGUCUAAUAUCAUAGCCACUAGCCACAUAUGGCUCUUGAUCACUGGAAAUGCAGCUAGUCUGAAUUGAGAUAUGCUAUUAGCCCUGAGCUAAUAUCUGAUGCCAAUCCUCCUCUUUUUGCUGAGGAAGAUUGGCCCUGGGCUAACAUCCAUGCCCAUCUUCCUCUGUUUUAUAUGGGACAUGGCCACAGGAUGGCUUGACAAGCGGUGCAUUGGUGCACACCUGGGAUCCAAAGCUGCGAAUCCUGGCUGCUGAAGUGGAGUGUGUGCACUUAACUAUUACGCCACUGCGGUGGCUCCCCCUCCCCUUUUUUUUUAUAGCCAUCCUAGUGGGUGUGUAAUGGUAUUUCAUUGGGUUUUUGAUUUUCAUUUCCCUAGAGACUGAUGAUGUUGAGCAUCUU